GACGAACGCUGGCGGCGUGCUUAACACAUGCAAGUCGAGCGGAGUUAUAGUGCUUGCACUAUAACUUAGCGGCGGACGGGUGAGUAAUGCUUAGGAAUCUGCCUAUUAAUGGGGGACAACAUUUCGAAAGGGAUGCUAAUACCGCAUACGCCCUACGGGGGAAAGCAGGGGAUCUUCGGACCUUGCGUUAACAGAUGAGCCUAGGUCGGAUUAGCUAGUUGGUGGGGUAAUGGCCCACCAAGGCGACGAUCCGUAACUGGUCUGAGAGGAUGAUCAGUCACACUGGAACUGAGACACGGUCCAGACUCCUACGGGAGGCAGCAGUGGGGAAUAUUGGACAAUGGGCGAAAGCCUGAUCCAGCCAUGCCGCGUGUGUGAAGAAGGUCUUCGGAUUGUAAAGCACUUUAAGUCGGGAGGAAGGGCUGUAGGCUAAUACCUUGCAGUUUUGACGUUACCGACAGAAUAAGCACCGGCUAACUUCGUGCCAGCCGCCGCCGUAACAC
rnacentral:rRNA from 1 species